UGGCUCUCCUAUCGAUGAAGAACGCAGCGAAAUGCGAUAAGUAAUGUGAAUUGCAGAAUUCAGUGAAUCAUCGAAUCUUUGAACGCACCUUGCGCCCUUUGGUAUUCCGAAGGGCAUGCCUGUCUGAGUGUCAUUGAAUUAUCAACCUUGCUCGCUUUUACCGGCUUGAGUUAGGCUUGGACUUGAGGGCUUGCUGGCUUCCUUCAGUGGAUGGUCUGCUCCCUUUAAAUGCAUUAGUGGGAUCUCUUGUGGACCGUCACUUGGUGUGAUAAUUAUCUAUGCCACUUGACCUUGAAGCAAACCUUAUGGGAACCCGCUCAUAACCGUCUUCGGACAACUUUUGACAUUUUGACCUCAAAUCAGGUAGGACUACCCGCUGAACUUAAGCAUAUCAAUAAGCGGAGGAAAAGAAACUAACAAGGAUUCCCCUAGUAACUGCGAGUGAAGCGGGAAAAGCUCAAAUUUAAAAUCUGGCGGUUCUUGUAGCCGUCCGAGUUGUAAUUUAGAGAAGUGUUAUCCGCGCUGGACCGUGUACAAGUCUCCUGGAAUGGAGCGUCAUAGAGGGUGAGAAUCCCGUCUUUGACACGGACUGCCAGGGCAUUGUGAUGCGCUCUCAAAGAGUCGAGUUGUUUGGGAAUGCAGCUCAAAAUGGGUGGUAAAUUCCAUCUAAAGCUAAAUAUUGAGGAGAGACCGAUAGCGAACAAGUACCGUGAGGGAAAGAUGAAAAGAACUUUGGAAAGAGAGUUAAACAGUACGUGAAAUUGCUGAAAGGGAAACGCUUGAAGUCAGUCGCGUCGUUCAGGACUCAGCCUUGCUUUGCUUGGUGUACUUCCUGUUCGACGGGUCAGCAUCAAUUUUGGUCGGUGGAUAAAGGCUUAGAGAAUGUGGCAUCUUCGGGUGUGUUAUAGCUCUGGGUCGCAUACAUCGGCUGGGAUUGAGGAACUCAGCACGCCGCAAGGCCGGGGACUUGUCCCACGUACGUGCUUAGGAUGCUGGCAUAAUGGCUUUAAUCGACC
rnacentral:rRNA from 1 species